rnacentral:rRNA from 1 species
AAGUCUGACCUGCCCACUGAAUUUUAAAUGGCCGCAGUAUUUUAACUGUGCAAAGGUAGCMUAAUCAUUAGUCUUUUAAUUGAAGGCUGGUAUGAACGGUUGGACGAAGUAUACACUGUUUCAUGUAAAUUUAUAAUAGAAUUUUAUAUUUUAGUCAAAAAGCUAAAAUAAUAUUAAAAGACGAGAAGACCCUAUAAAUCUUUAUAUUUAAUAGAAUUUAAAUUUUUUGGAUUUAUUUUAUUUUUAUUAUAUUAGAUAUUUUGUUGGGGUGAUGUUAAAAUUUAAUAAACUUUUAAUUAUUUAAGAUCAUUUAUUUAUGAAUUAUUGAUCCAUUAUUAGUGAUUAUAAGAUUAAGUUACUUUAGGGAUAACAGCGUAAUUUUUUUGGAGAGUUCAUAUCGAUAAAAAAGUUUGCGACCUCGAUGUUGGAUUAAGAUAUAUUUUUAGGUGUAGUUGCUUAAAU